AUAUUAUCCCCUUUCAUAAUAAUCAUCUCAUUCUAUUUUGAUAUGGUUGAUUAUUGAUUUUGUUUGCUUUGUGCGUAUUUUGUUGAAGGGAAAGGUGAUAAUAACUGCACUCCCUGGAGAGAAGUUGGAAGUUCCUGAUGAUGCAGUGAUAGAAAACAAGGAGAUCAAGAGCUCUGAGGAUAUCUAAGCUUUAUAUGGAGUUUCCAAUGGCAGUCAUCUACUCAUUAAUGGUAAUAAUAAUCAAUCAUGUAUAAACCCUGAGAAGCUACAAAAAAUUCUCAUGCUUUUACUGCAAUUUAAAGAUAUAUUCACCUUUCCUUUUUUCAAUGAUGAGCAUUACGAACCCUUUUUUUUUUUUGUUUGUCUUCAUUAUAUUUUCUACGCUUGCAUUUUAGAUUUUAGUGGUGCAACAACACUUGUCAAAGAGGUUAUUUCAUUGGAGUGAUUUUGAAUGUAAUGCAUUUUAAACGCUUGAGUUUUAAGUUUUGAGUGCUUGGUUGAUA